UACGAAGGGGGCUAGCGUUGCUCGGAAUUACUGGGCGUAAAGCGCACGUAGGCGGUCUUUUAAGUCGGGGGUGAAAUCCUGGAGCUCAACUCCAGAACUGCCUUCGAUACUGGAAGACUUGAGUCCGGGAGAGGUGAGUGGAACUGCGAGUGUAGAGGUGAAAUUCGUAGAUAUUCGCAAGAACACCAGUGGCGAAGGCGGCUCACUGGCCCGAUACUGACGCUGGGGAGCGAAAGCGUGGGGAGCGAACAGG
rnacentral:rRNA from 1 species